GAUGAACGCUGGCGGCGUGCUUAACACAUGCAAGUCGAACGGGAAUUCUUUUAUUGCAACUUCGGUCGAUUUAAUUUAAUUCUAGUGGCGGACGGGUGAGUAACGCGUGGGUAACCUGCCUUAUACAGGGGGAUAACAGUCAGAAAUGGCUGCUAAUACCGCAUAAGCGCACAGAGCUGCAUGGCUCAGUGUGAAAAACUCCGGUGGUAUAAGAUGGACCCGCGUUGGAUUAGCUUGUUGGCAGGGUAACGGCCUACCAAGGCGACGAUCCAUAGCCGGCCUGAGAGGGUGAACGGCCACAUUGGGACUGAGACACGGCCCAGACUCCUACGGGAGGCAGCAGUGGGGAAUAUUGCACAAUGGGGGAAACCCUGAUGCAGCGACGCCGCGUGAAGGAAGAAGUAUCUCGGUAUGUAAACUUCUAUCAGCAGGGAAGAUAGUGACGGUACCUGACUAAGAAGCCCCGGCUAACUACGUG
rnacentral:rRNA from 1 species